CUACGGGGCGCUGCAGUGAGGAAUUUUGCGCAAUGGGGGAAACCCUGACGCAGCAACGCCGCGUGAGUGAUGAAGGCCUUCGGGUCGUAAAACUCUGUCAAGUGGGAAGAACCUAUGUAAGGUUAAUACCCUUAUGUACUGACGGUACCACUGAAGGAAGCACCGGCUAACUCCGUGCCAGCAGCCGCGGUAAUACGGAGGGUGCAAGCGUUAUUCGGAAUUAUUGGGCGUAAAGGGCGCGCAGGCGGUUUUGUAAGUCAGAUGUGAAAGCCCGGGGCUUAACCUCGGAAGUGCAUUUGAUACUGCAAGACUUGAGUAUGGGAGGGGGAAGUGGAAUUCCUGGCGUAGAGGUGAAAUUCGUAGAUAUCAGGAGGUACACCAGUGGCGAAGGCGACUUCCUGGACCAAUACUGACGCUGAGGCGCGAAGGCGUGGGGAGCAAACAGGAUUAGAUACCCUUGUAGUC
rnacentral:rRNA from 1 species